GUACACAAAAAUGCACAUAUUGUGAGCUCGAUGAGUAGGGCGGGACACGUGGUAUCCUGUCUGAAUAUGGGGGGACCAUCCUCCAAGGCUAAAUACUCCUGACUGACCGAUAGUGAACCAGUACCGUGAGGGAAAGGCGAAAAGAACCCCGGCGAGGGGAGUGAAAAAGAACCUGAAACCGUGUACGUACAAGCAGUGGGAGCCUCUUAAUGGGGUGACUGCGUACCUUUUGUAUAAUGGGUCAGCGACUUAUAUUCUGUAGCAAGGUUAACCGAAUAGGGGAGCCGAAGGGAAACCGAGUCUUAACUGGGCGUUAAGUUGCAGGGUAUAGACCCGAAACCCGGUGAUCUAGCCAUGGGCAGGUUGAAGGUUGGGUAACACUAACUGGAGGACCGAACCGACUAAUGUUGAAAAAUUAGCGGAUGACUUGUGGCUGGGGGUGAAAGGCCAAUCAAACCGGGAGAUAGCUGGUUCUCCCCGAAAGCUAUUUAGGUAGCGCCUCGUGAAUUCAUCUCCGGGGGUAGAGCACUGUUUCGGCAAGGGGGUCAUCCCGACUUACCAACCCGAUGCAAACUGCGAAUACCGGAGAAUGUUAUCACGGGAGACACACGGCGGGUGCUAACGUCCGUCGUGAAGAGGGAAACAACCCAGACCGCCAGCUAAGGUCCCAAAGUCAUGGUUAAGUGGGAAACGAUGUGGGAAGGCCCAGACAGCCAGGAUGUUGGCUUAGAAGCAGCCAUCAUUUAAAGAAAGCGUAAUAGCUCACUGGUCGAGUCGGCCUGCGCGGAAGAUGUAACGGGGCUAAACCAUGCACCGAAGCUGCGGCAGCGACACUAUGUGUUGUUGGGUAGGGGAGCGUUCUGUAAGCCUGUGAAGGUGGCCUGUGAGGGUUGCUGGAGGUAUCAGAAGUGCGAAUGCUGACAUAAGUAACGAUAAAGCGGGUGAAAAGCCCGCUCGCCGGAAGACCAAGGGUUCCUGUCCAACGUUAAUCGGGGCAGGGUGAGUCGACCCCUAAGGCGAGGCCGAAAGGCGUAGUCGAUGGGAAACAGGUUAAUAUUCCUGUACUUGGUGUUACUGCGAAGGGGGGACGGAGAAGGCUAUGUUGGCCGGGCGACGGUUGUCCCGGUUUAAGCGUGUAGGCUGGUUUUCCAGGCAAAUCCGGAAAACCAAGGCUGAGGCGUGAUGACGAGGCACUACGGUGCUGAAGC
rnacentral:rRNA from 1 species